AUUGGCAACGCUGCUCGACCACAACAACAAAGGGCCGCGGAGGUGACGGGAGUGACCCCUGACCUGACCCCUGCAGCUGGCGGGUCACGGAGGAGGCGUACAAGGUCAAGAGCUCCCGUGUGACCCUGAGGAGCCAUGAGGAGGGCGUGAGGAGCAUAGGAGGAGCACCAUGGACGGCCGAGAGGUGGUGAUUGGGUUGGUCACCGUUGUCGCCUCGGUGAUCUUUCUCGUAGGCUUUGUGGCCCUGGGCUGGUAUGCAGUGUGGCGGCUGUUCCUCUGUCGCUUUGGCUUCAUCCGGGAGCUGCUGGGGAAUCAACAGGAGGCCGGGCAGUCCAGUGAAGACACGGCGCGGCCCACGGCACGCUCAAGGCCCAGCCGCAAACUUAGGCGAGACUGAUGGCGACUGGUACCUCAUGACACCCUCCGUCUCGCACCUUUCUUUGUCUGUGUCAGCGAUGCAGGAACGUCAUUCUCCCGGCAGUGGAAGCGUCCGAGCCUCUCCUCUCAGCACCACAUGACCACAGUAGUUCCGCCACCAUGACUCCAAACUCCAGUGAAUCACUAUAUCCUCCGACGAAGACCUGAGUUCACCCACCGCAGCCUCACCUUCUCCAUAGCAUGUUAAGAGGUCACUGUUCAAGGUCAGAUGUAGAUUGGGUGGUACGUUUCAGCUCUCAAGACUCCACAUGGUUUCUCCUCGUGGUUUAAGGGAUUGGUUCUGCAAGUUUGCGUUUCUGUGGUGUGUGUGACGUGUGAGUUCCCACCUGCGUCUGUCUGUAAAGUAGGUGAUGUUCACAUAGUUGGUAUACCAGCCCCGCCCCUCUUCGAUAUGCCCCGCCCCCUCUUCAAUAUGCCCUGCCCCCUCUUCGAUAUGCCCCGCCCCCUCUUUGAUAUGCCCCCCCCCCCCCAUGUGGUGCUGAUAUAACCCCCCCAAAGUAGAUGAUUCAUAAACUAACCACAAAUACAUUGAUAUAUAUUAUGAAAUGGUUUGUGUGAGUGAUGAUUUUUUCUCAUUUUUCUCGCUACGAGGGGCCGUUAAAGAAACAUGAUCCCCGCAGCUACCGGGUUAAGGAGGGGGAGAGACUCGUCCCUCAGGCCCUUCUGGUCCCGGUGAUUAACAAGUCGUGUCUUUCCUAGUGUGUCAGACAUGCCAGUGAAAAACAGACAUAUCUUAUGGGACUGAAUAAUUAAUUUUUUUUCUGCUUUCGUAAGUAUAGAUUCAUUUUUCUCCUAAUAUUUUAAAGUGGUCUUAAUUGUAACUUUUAAAAAAUAUAUAAUUGGUAGAGGCACCCACAAGAAGGAGGUCUGUCCGUAACCCUCCCUUCCUGGAUCCUAAAACAAUAGUGUCGAUGCGCUAUAGAGGGUUACAAGCAGCCUCUCUGUAUAGGGUAGAACUGAACCUCCUCCCUGUACGGCCUUAAACGAUAGAACCCACGCACAAACCCUUCCGCUGAGAUGGUUGAACAAAGCGUGUAGGUCGGAUAUGUCUUAAAAUACCGUGCUCUUCAUUGAUAUGGUAAAGGUGAUUUUUUUUUAUUAUUAUUAUUAUUUUUUUUACAGCAGAGGAGACAGUGCAAGGGUGUAAAAAGAAAGAAAACAAUAAUGAAAAACAAAAAAAAGCCUGCUACUUACUAUUGGGGGCAUAUGCUAUAGCUGCGCGUCGCCAUUCAUCUUAAAACGUGCAGCAUCCACGCAAAAUGAUUCACCUGUCAUUCUGAAGCAUACCAGGAGGACUAACGCUGGUAUUUUUAAACACUUCUGCCUCCCACAUCAACUACUUCCAAAGGGCAAAAAGGAGAUCAAUCGGGUUCUCAUGUGUGCUUUUUCUAGGUUCACGGUACAGUAGAAGGCUCAAACUACCACCAGGGUCACAAAACUACCCCUGGAAACGCCCCAAACUCCUACGAAAGCCUUGUCAAAUGUGUGUACUAGGCCGCUGCAAUGUUUAAGAAUACGAGCUUAAGGUCUAUUCUGCCAAAGGUGAGAAUGCGUCAUGAAAGUAGUUCCUCGUCAUGGGUAACAGAGGAAGGCCUUGGCUGCUCUGGUGCUCUGGUGGACAGUUUAUCCGAUGGGAGUUGGGCAAAAUCUGACUUCAGGUGAGAGAGUAGCGGGCGGGACUUCUCCUCUCACGUAUUCUCCCCUUCGCCGGGACAAAUUGAGUCUGCUGGAGUUGAAAUUUGUGAGAUCCUGUAGUGCGGCGACUAGGCCUGAUAAGGGAGCCUCCCAUAACCCACUUGGCGAGAGGAGUACCUCUUUGGCUGACUCGGUAGGGAAUGGCUCUCUCGUCACGCUGGUCGCAGGUUCAAUCCCAGCCCAGUCAGCCGGCGAAUACCCUCUCCUGGUCUUGAUUAAUUUCUUGUGUGUUGUUUCGAUACAUGCAGAGGUCGUGUUGGGAAAUAGAAAAGAAAAAUAAGCUCUCGGGGCAUAACAGUCCAACAUUCAAUACCCAUUUUCUUUACAUAGGGGCUCAAAAAUGGAACGUGAAAAGGUAUUAGGAACAUGAUAGAAAUAUGAGCAUGGAGUAUAACAUCUUUGUCGUCUUCUGUGUGUGUGUGUUUGUAUGUGUGUAUGCUGUUUUUCAAGUCUUGAGAGCACAGUGUUAUUGGUGGGAUCAGUGCCAUAGCAUAGGAGAGGGUUGCCAGCUUCAUCACAGGUGCUGCAUUGUUACCAAGAGAGCUGUACGAAAUUUAUAUUGGCGCUGGUGUGUUUUGGGCGCUGGGUACGGUACUUCUUCCCUCAACUCUUGCCUUUGUUCCCUUCCUCCUGUGCUUUCCAUUACCUCCCUCCCUCCAUCUACUUCUUCCUUCCAUCCCUUUCACUUUGUGCUUCCUUCUCUUCCUCUCUCUCUCCUUCCUUCCUUUUGUCCUUCCUUCUCUUCCUCUCUCUCCUUUCAUUUCUCUCCUUUCUUCCUUCCUUCCCUCCAGUGCCUCCCAUCUCUCACUCUGUCCUUCCUUCUCUUCCUCUCCCUCUCUCCUUCCUUUCCUUCCCUCCAGUGUCUCCCAUCUCUCACUCUGUCCUGCCUUCUCUUCCUCUCUCUCUCUCUCCUUCCAUUUCUCUCCUUCCUUCCAUCCCUUCCACUCUCUCUCUCUCUUCCUCUGAUCAACAAUAUUCAGACUUCCACGUAGGUCUCUCGAUAACGACAUGGUGCCUGUGAAUAACUCGUCCAAGCUCUCCUAUUUGUGACUCUGGGUUAGAUCACAAAGACAAGCUUGGUAUAUGUUAGUCUUUUCUCCCAUACCUCACACCCCGACAGAGGCCCCAGUGAGUCCAGGCAUAAGGGGGCGGGGCAGCAGCUUACGGCUCAGGCCCAGUCACUGUCGUCUUGCAGGGCUUGUGAUAAAACUAGUGAAUAGAGAUGAGUGGCGUCUAUUUUUGUAUCAGUAAGGAGGGGGUUAGCGAGGUAGCGUCAAUGGUAGUGACGGGAGAGGAAGAUAAGGCUUGCAUCUUUAAUUCAAAUACAGGGAAAUAUUGUGUGUGUGUGUGUGUGUGUGUGUGUGUGUGUGUGUGUGUGAAGUGUUGAUUGAUAUUCUCAGGAGCAGCUGAUCUUGGUGGUGUGGAAUACCAUAACGAUUUCUUAGAUUUUAAUUAAACAUCUAUCAGAGCUUUUAACGCCAGGGAAAAGAUCUUAAUUUUUCUGUGUUUCCACCUUCGCUAUGUUUUCAGGAAGUUUCCCAGGUGUUCCACAAUCCUCAUACCAUAUCAAGUUAUGCUUAUACUGAUAGUGUUUAAAGUGUAAUGCAAGAUAAGGUGAUAUGCAAAGAUACUUAAGUUUAACUGUACAGGUGUAUUUUAAAGUGAUUAUCAAAACAUGUAUGGGAAUGGUUUUGUAACGUGCAGAUCUUUGUUGUGUCUGUAAGUGAUGUUAUAGUAACUAUGUGCUGGCCAUAAACUGUAGUGUUUGGAGGAAAUACAUGAAGUUGAUGAUGA